rnacentral:rRNA from 1 species
GUGGGGAAUAUUGGACAAUGGGCGAAAGCCUGAUCCAGCCAUGCCGCGUGUGUGAAGAAGGUCUUCGGAUUGUAAAGCACUUUAAGUUGGGAGGAAGGGCAGUAAGUUAAUACCUUGCUGUUUUGACGUUACCGACAGAAUAAGCACCGGCUAACUUCGUGCCAGCAGCCGCGGUAAUACGAAGGGUGCAAGCGUUAAUCGGAAUUACUGGGCGUAAAGCGCGCGUAGGUGGUUUUGUAAGUGGGAGGUGAAAUCCCCGGGCGCAACCUGGGAACUGCCUCCAAAACUGCAUUACUAGAGUACGGUAGAGGGUAGUGGAAUUUCCUGUGUAGCGGUGAAAUGCGUAGAUAUAGGAAGGAACACCAGUGGCGAAGGCGACUACCUGGACUGAUACUGACACUGAGGUGCGAAAGCGUGGGGAGCAAACAGGAUUAGAUACCCCAGUAGUCC